GACGCACUUUCAGGAUAAUAUCUAAUUUCAACGCAAUUUUGUGAAACUUGAUUGAAGUUUCACAAACUUUGGGUUGGGGGCGUGUCACGGUCCUCCGUGACGUUUGGGUUCAAGGCGCCCGGCGCGUAGGCAACCCAUCGCACAAAGGUUUUCGGCAGUGCCGAGGGAUGGCGUUGUCUGUGCGUCGAGUGCACUCCGGCUUGUCCCCUUCCCUCCCCCCUUCCACUUUUGACGUUCAGCUGGUCAGCUGGCCGGCUCGGUGUGCCAGAGCUUGGCGCGACACCGACCCGGGCGUGCGAAAGACCAAGCCCCGCCUAACAUCCUCAUUUCCCCGGGUCGUCAUUCUCCAUGACUGGACUACUAUGAAGUUUGAUAGUUUCGUUUCGCCAUGCCUCAAGUUUCUGACGUCUUCAAGUUCACUGACUUUCUGAGUUUGGUGUGGAUUGCCUCUUGGUACUGUUUUGUAUGUACGAUUUAGUCUCCCGCGGUGGAGCGUGUGCUUUUGGCCAUGUGGCCGGUAUCAUGAUGAGGUUAUUGUCUACUUUUGUGCCAAGUGCUACUGUGUCAGUCAUUGAAUGCAAUAAACUGUGAUAUUUAUGUA